AUGCGGGAGGGCGACCUGCAGCAGCGUCGGCGACAGCGACAGACGACUCCCUUACCCUUGCACCCCAUCUUCUCCAUGUAUCAUGCACUCUCGCACCGCUUGGUGAGGAGCUCGAUGCGGGAGGGCGACCUGCAGCAGCGUCGGCGGCAGCGACAGACGACUCCCUUACCCUUGCACCCCAUCUUCUCCCUGUAUCAUGCACUCUCGCACCGGGGCACACCAUCUUUGUCCUCUCUAAUGGCUCCUCCCCCAUCACUACUACUACACCGGUGUCAUGCUAGCCGAGAUUGUCGCCGGGGCCAACAUAAGAUAGAAAGAAUGAGAAAUAUAGGGCCCAGCGGAGCAAAGGAAAAGUGUAACAGAAAUUAG
rnacentral:rRNA from 1 species